rnacentral:rRNA from 1 species
UACGUAGGUGGCAAGCGUUGUCCGGAUUUACUGGGCGUAAAGAGCGCGCAGGCGGUCGUUCAAGUCGCGUGUGAAAGCCCCCGGCUCAACUGGGGAGGGUCACGCGAUACUGAUCGACUCGAAGGCAGGAGAGGGAAGUGGAAUUCCCGGUGUAGUGGUGAAAUUCGUAGAUAUUGGGAAGAACACCGGUGGCGAAGGCGGCGACCUGGUCCGUUACUGACGCUGAGGCGCGACAGCGUGGGGAGCAAACAGG